rnacentral:rRNA from 1 species
UACGUAGGUGGCGAGCGUUGUCCGGAUUUACUGGGCGUAAAGAGCGCGCAGGCGGUCGUGCAAGUCGCGUGUGAAAGCCCCCGGCUCAACUGGGGAGGGUCACGCGAUACUGCUCGACUCGAAGGCAGGAGAGGGAAGUGGAAUUCCCGGUGUAGUGGUGAAAUGCGUAGAUAUCGGGAGGAACACCAGUGGCGAAGGCGACUUCCUGGCCUGUUCUUGACGCUGAGGCGCGAAAGCUAGGGGAGCAAACGGGG